CGGGGUGGAGUAACGCGUGGAUAACCUGCCUCACACUGGGGGAUAACAGUUAGAAAUGACUGCUAAUACCGCAUAAGCGCACAGUACCGCAUGGUACAGUGUGAAAAACUCCGGUGGUGUGAGAUGGAUCCGCGUCUGAUUAGCCAGUUGGCGGGGUAACGGCCCACCAAGCGACGAUCAGUAGCCGACCUGAGAGGGUGACCGGCCACAUUGGGACUGAGACACGGCCCAA
rnacentral:rRNA from 1 species